rnacentral:rRNA from 1 species
GACGAACGCUGGCGGCGUGCCUAAUACAUGCAAGUUGAGCGCUGAAGGUUGGUACUUGUACCAACUGGAUGAGCAGCGAACGGGUGAGUAACGCGUGGGGAAUCUGCCUUUGAGCGGGGGACAACAUUUGGAAACGAAUGCUAAUACCGCAUAAAAACUUUAAACACAAGUUUUAAGUUUGAAAGAUGCAAUUGCAUCACUCAAAGAUGAUCCCGCGUUGUAUUAGCUAGUUGGUGAGGUAAAGGCUCACCAAGGCGAUGAUACAUAGCCGACCUGAGAGGGUGAUCGGCCACAUUGGGACUGAGACACGGCCCAAACUCCUACGGGAGGCAGCAGUAGGGAAUCUUCGGCAAUGGACGAAAGUCUGACCGAGCAACGCCGCGUGAGUGAAGAAGGUUUUCGGAUCGUAAAACUCUGUUGGUAGAGAAGAACGGUGGUGAGAGUGGAAAGCUCAUCAAGUGACGGUAACUACCCAGAAAGGAACGGCUAACUACGUGC